UGCUGGCUUGGGAACACUUCCAGGAUAUGGAUCUUUAGGGGGCAUUGGCUAUCUUGGAGCACGACCAGGUUAUGCUGGUGGAGCGGGAAACUACAUGGGAGCAAGCCUGGGCGCUUUGGGUUAUGGAG